rnacentral:rRNA from 1 species
AAAAUAACAAUGAUUUCCCCAGUAACGGCGAGUGAAGAGGAAAGAGCUCAAAGUUGGAACCUGCUUGGCUUAGCCAAGCCGGAUUGUAAACUGUAGAAGUGUUUUCCUGACACGCCAGGCAAAAAAGUCCUUUGGAACAGGGCAUCAUAGAGGGUGAGAAUCCCGUCUUUGGCCUGAGCAGUUGUCUUUUGCGAUACACUUUCAAAGAGUCAGGUUGUUUGGGAAUGCAGCCUAAAUUGGGUGGUAAAUCUCACCUAAAGCUAAAUAUUGGCGAGAGACCGAUAGCGAACAAGUACCGUGAGGGAAAGAUGAAAAGAACUUUGAAAAGAGAGUUAAACAGUAUGUGAAAUUGUUAAAAGGGAACCGUUUGGAGCCAGACUGGCUUGGCUGUAAUCAAUCUGGGCUUUUGCCCGGAUGCACUUGCGGCCUAUGCCUGCCAACGACAGUUUUAUUUGGGGGAAAAAACCAGGCGGAAUGUGGCCCCUUWGGGGGUGUUAUAGCCUCUUGGAAAAUACCCUGGAUUGGACUGAGGAUCGCAGCGAAUGCCAUUAGGCGAGAUUGCGGCGUGCUUUCGCUGAUAAAUGCUAGAAUUUCUGCUUCGGGUGGUGCUAGUGUUUAAAGGUGGAACCCGCGCUGUAUAUUUUUUAUUCGCUUAGGUUGUUGGCUUAAUGACUCUAAAUGAC